GAAAAUUCAACCACAUUGCUUAGGGAGGAAUAUGUAGGUGGUAAAACUAUAAAUAAGUACAGUAAAACCUUGGAUUGCGAGUAACUUGUUUUGUGAGUGUUCCACAAGAUGAGCAAACAUUUCUAAUAUAUUUUAACUUGAUACACAGUCAAUGUCUUGCAGUAUGAGUGUUAGGUGAUGCCAAAUGUCACAUGAUCACAACUGAGCCAAUGGUUCUUGAAGUUCGCUUUGACAUACAAGUGCUUUGGAUUACAAGCAUGUUUCUGGAGUGAAUUAUGCUCCCAAACCAGGAUUUUACUGUACAAGGAAAAGAUGAUCACAACCGUCACAAUAUUGGCCACAUGGGAGCAGAUGAUGUGGAAGAUCAUGGUCUCUGCAGUCAAAUCUCUGCUUAAAGUCUGGUAAUGAUGAGAUCACUAACACAGUCAGGUAACUACAGUGGUUCAAGUAUGCAGAUGGGGAGAUUUGGAGGAGUGAUUUCAGAGAUGUGCACCAGAUGGUCACUGAGCCAGAAGAGAGUCAUGGCACUCCAGACCAAGAGAAAAAAUAACCAAGGAAGGUAAGAAACAAGGAACUGACAGAACAGUCCAGCUGGUUUUGCUGGACUGUAAGAUGCAUACUGGGAAGUGGCAAGAAACUGGAUUGCAGAUGCAUGCCUUAUUAGGUGUAUUUUUUGGAAUUAUGUUUGGUCACGGUGGAUGAAAUGUCCAAAAUAACAGUGGCAUGCAGACAGCAGGUCACUGCUUUGUCAUAUAAAACAUGCGUGCAUGUAGGUGGUGGCUGCUGUGAUGCUCGACAUGGAGGCCAGGGCCCAGACUCCCUCUGUGUACCGCUCCACGGUCUAAACACAGCUAAUAAUUAGCACAACGCAGGUCUUUAAAAUAAAAGUGGUUUUAUUAUAAAAUUCUAAAACUGUGCUUUAAAGGAUGGUCACAGGAAUACUGCAUAAGAAGAAGAAACAUAUGUUCAUAAUCCAAUCACAUAGCAGACUUUAUAUUGUCCACAGAAUCAAUAUUUAAAAAACAUUCCUCUAUGUCAGUUAAAAAGAGCCUUCAGAGCACCAUUAUUUGAAGGGAAGGUAUUUUGCACAUCAGAGUUCGUCUUUGGUCUGCAAUUAAGAAGCAAAAUAUUUAGUGCCAUCAAGAAGUCUUAUACGCGUCAAGAUAACUUACGUUAGUCUAUUAAUUAUUUUCCCCUAAAGGUGGAAGCAGCGAAAAAGGCAAGUGGGCGCUAAAGGUUUGUAGGGCCUGGGACUAUGCUCGAAAUCCCUCCUGGGGAAAGUCACAUUGUAUUUUAUUGGACUGCUGAUGGGGAACACAAACAUGUAAGUGUUUGCAUUACUGUAAAGGGCUUUGUGUUAUGUAUCUUAUCUGUGAAGGGCUACAGCAGACAAGGAGGAGGAAAUUAACGAAGGCUCUAAGUCCACUGGUCAGUGUUGGCACUCCCCAGCAUCACUCAGACAAAGAUAAAAAAUAAAAAAAGAGGACUGGAGAAAGGAAGCCGCCCAGUUUCAUUUGGAGCCAACAGAAGUGUUGUGAUACCAAAUCACAAAUUUCAUGAGCGGGUACAUUUCAAUUCUGGAAAAUUUUUAAAAGAUUUUAUUUUUUAAGCAUUUAAUUUAUUUUUUAAGUAAUCUCUACACACAAUGUGGGGUCAAUCCAAGAUCAAGAGUUGCAAGCUCUGCUGACUUAGGGUGCCCCGAAGUCUAGCAAGUUUUUUUUUUUUUUUUUUUUUGGUCAAUGGCUUUAACUAAUUUAAUGAACUUCCAGCACUGACAAGCGUUAACACUGAUGAAGAACCGUUUCUGGGUGGGGGUGAGGGGGUUGGUUAGUUACUUAGUGGCAAGUCUGUACUCCAAACAAAAAAAGGAAAUAACCAAAACUGAUUUGUAGCACCUGCUGUUGUCAUGGUGACUCUCCCCCACCAGGCAGAUUCCAAGGUACCAGAAAUUAACUAGUGUGCAAAAUUCCUAAUAUGUAACAGACAGUGAGCUUAUAUAAACUGAUUCUAUCAUACCACUGGAUAGUGGUCACUUAAUUCGUUUCAAACCCCCUGUGAGUCAGGCAUGAUAACUGCCAAAUCUGCCUUCUCAUUUUUGGUCACAAUAUCACAGUUUUGAGUUUGUUCUUUUAGAGACAUGAUGACAUUGCUUAAAAUAAUGUCAAGCCAAUAUAUUAUAUGUAUACGUUUAUGUAAUAUAUAUGUAUACAUAGAGUGUAGAGAUAUGAACUACAAUUUUAUAUAGUAUAUAUUCAUUCAAACAAAAAGCAUUACAAUCAAAACAACCCUCCCCUGCCACAUCAUGUCUUUACACACAACCAGGCACACAAUCUGGUGAUGGAGACUAGUUCUUGGUCCUAGCCUUGCUAUAAUCCAGCUGGGUGGUUAUGAGCUAAAUUCUUCUUUAGGCUUCGUUUUUAUAACCGUAAGAUGAAGGCAUUUCCUGGGUGACCCCUAAGGUCCCCUUUUUUUUUUUUUUUUUAA